rnacentral:sRNA from 1 species
UGACCAUGGAAUCAGCGUGACUCCAUCGG